GCAUAAUCAUUUGAGGACUGGUGCUACUUGCCACUUAUAUAUCAAUUUAUUAUUAUGGUAAAUGGACUUGCAUUUAU